rnacentral:rRNA from 1 species
AUACGGAGGGUGCAAGCGUUGUUCGGAUUUAUUGGGCGUAAAGCGAGUGUAGGCGGUUUGACAAGUCGAAUGUGAAAUCCCGAGGCCCAACCUCGGAACUGCAUCCGAAACUGUCAGGCUAGAGUCCCGGAGAGGGUGGCGGAAUUCCCGGUGUAGGGGUGAAAUCCGUAGAUAUCGGGAGGAACACCAGUGGCGAAGGCGGCCACCUGGACGGUGACUGACGCUGAGACUCGAAAGUGUGGGUAGCAAACAGGAUUAGAAACCCUAGUAGUCC